AUGAGUGGCGAACGGGUGAGUAACACGUGAGUAACCUGCCCUCUUCUUUGGGAUAACGCCCGGAAACGGGUGCUAAUACUGGAUAUUCACUGAUCUUCGCAUGGGGGUUGGUGGGAAGGUUUUUUCUGGUGGGGGAUGGGCUCGCGGCCUAUCAGCUUGUUGGUGGGGUGAUGGCCUACCAAGGCUUUGACGGGUAGCCGGCCUGAGAGGGUGACCGGUCACAUUGGGACUGAGAUACGGCCCAG
rnacentral:rRNA from 1 species